UACGUAGGUGGCAAGCGUUGUCCGGAUUUAUUGGGUUUAAAGGGUGCGUAGGCGGCCCUGUAAGUCAGUGGUGAAAUACUCCAGCUUAACUGGAGGGGUGCCAUUGAUACUGCAGGGCUUGAGUGGAGUCGAAGUAGGCGGAAUUGACGGUGUAGCGGUGAAAUGCUUAGAUAUCGUCAAGAACACCGAUAGUGAAGACAGUUUACUAGGCUUCUACUGACGCUGAGGCACGAAAGCGUGGGGAGCGAACAGG
rnacentral:rRNA from 1 species